rnacentral:lncRNA from 1 species
UAUACAGGGUGUAUAAAAAAAAAAGGUAAUCGAACUUCAGCGCGCUAUUAUACGUGAAUUACUCGGCGUAUGAACAAUUGGUUUUCAUAUUCGGAAAGAUCAGGCUUUUAGCUAUUGAAUGACAUGCUUUUGAUGCCAAGUGGAGAAAAAAUAAGCAUGUACGAGGCCGAUUAAAAAUGUACGUUAGUCAAAAUCGCAUAUUUUCACCUCUGUGCCUAAUUAAAACAAUGCAUAACAAAAGAAAAGCAAUUAAUCACGAACGUGUCGUAACU